CUCGAAGGCUCUGAAAUCCGGCGACUCUGCCCUGAGAAAAUCACAUCUCAGUUGUUAGAAGCUUGGAAUCUUUUCGUGACGACAACACGGAUACGCGUCCCUAAUUCCCUAAUUAAGAACUCAUUGAACAGUGCAUCCGGAGCGCAUGUGUGUAUCACAUGAGUCAUCGCGGUCCAGAAGUCAAAUCUCGAAUGGCAACAAAAGGCGUUGCCGAACUAUCACCCUGCGCUUCUGUAGCGCGCCAAGGCAUUUAAGAAUUGCAGUCGAAACUCGCUGAAAUCGUUUUGAGAAACAGUGGGCUCGAUCUAACUUGGCUAUUGCUCGUUGCAGUGGAAAUUCUAAGCACCGCUCAUCUUUUAUAUUUUCUUCUGGCGGCGUGUGCACCAAACCAACCUUCACGCCACUUCGCUGCCUCCCAGUGUGAAAAUCAUCGAAGAAACGAUGACGUGAAUUCAUCUUCGCUACCACUAGUGUGGACAGGGCGGCGGGGACGAUGACUUGAGCGUGUCAUCGGUGGCACCAGCGUGGAAUGGACGGAACAGAUCUUAGUUUGUCAAUAGAAGCAGUAUUCUACCCAUUAAUUUAUAUUCACUACAGUGGAAUUAAACAAUUUCUAUUUUUGUCGACACCAUUUAUCACUGUAAAUUGCUUUGAAGGUUUUGUGCAAUUCACUGGCAGGUAUCAUGUUUAAAUAUAUGUAACAAGCGUCAAUAAGAACCUCAGAAUAUAGGCCUUUAUUUUUAUUUACAACGCUCACUACUCCCAUUUUUUUUGCUUGGUUCCGCUUGUCGAUUGAUUCAUGAGUGCGGCACCCACGAACUUGACAAUCGUAGGCUGUCUCAUUCAUUUGCCAUAAAUGUGGAUUUUAACGUAGAGGAUUUGAAAUGGCAGCCGCCUGAAUGCAGCAAGAGUCUUGUGUCUUCAAUGCGGAAGUUUACAAGCAUGUUAAAGCUUGCAGGUGAUUCAGCGGAUCGUUCAGUUAAGCCAUGAGGAAGCUUGAGGUUUAGUAGGCUUUUGGCUGUAGGGUAUUGUUUUGUAGACGGAGAUUCUGGUUUGGCCAUGAAAAUGUGUGACCAGGGGAUAUUUGUAUGACCGAUCGAAUGUCUGCAAGCUGUUUAGUGAGUGCAAUUUUCAGAGGACAUUGGUCCUGAAGAGUCAUGCUGAGUAUUGUACCGCGUCACAGAUGUGGAAAAGUAGGUGGGUUUCCCUGCUCUUGUUACUGUGGAGAUGUGGAUCCCUUUCUUUGGACAGAUAGUCCUUGUCCUCUUCAAAAACUCUUCAGUUCCCCUCGUGCGUUUUUAUCUUCAUGACAUAGCAUGAUCCUGGACCAUGACCCCCGCAUUGCAAAUUUGCACGUGGAGCUUCUUAUUUUCAACACCGUUUGAUACCAUUAGAAUUGUACCGAACGUAUCCCCUUGCAGAGGAAAGUUUAGAUAGUUGGGGAUACUUGUGAGCAUAUCUGGCGGUUGAACAGCGUAUUGCCAAUGAAACCUCGAAGCGUUACCAAACGUGAAUAACAACAAGUGACCUCAGCAUCCACUUAGAAAGAUAUUCGCUGGAUUAAAUUAACAAUUGCUGGAAAGGAAUUUUUUCAGUCCAAUCCAUGCUCGAGAUGUCUCAAUCCAACUUGGUUCUGAUGUAAAUGCACUUCGACUUUCUCAAUGUGAAAGCUACGUUGUCACCACAUUUUCCUUUUCAAUGUACUGAUAUGAAAACUGACUGAGUGAGUCGAAGCCCUUAGAUUUUUUUUGUCCCCACUUUCGCUUCUUGAUGUAACCAGUAUAAUUCUCUUCGGCCGAGUGCUAAGGUCUUGAUUGUCUUCUCAGAAGUGUAAUGUUGCUCCUUACCUUGCCUUUGAAUACGCGUAAUUACAGCAUUUGUAAUGCUCCCUUCCAAUGUUCCAUCAAGUUCAGAUGGCCACAAGAUUGAAAAAACACCUCCGACCGUAGUCAAUUCCACUUGCCAUUCUUCAAAUGGAUUAACAGUUGUUAGCUUCCCGAAGGUUAAAAGGCUGAAAACUGGUGAACUUUGUUGUAUGCCCAGACGGAGUGAGAUUGGCAGACUGGAGAUAUAGUUCAACGGACUUCGAACACUAGCAAAUUACUUGUCUUUUGUAACCGGCUGAGUGACAUUUUGUCUAGUUUAACUGGCAGUACAAUUCUAAUUUCUCUAAUUUUGAGGUGCUGACUUAGUGGAGUUCUUGCAGUUGAUACCCGAAUUUUGCGCAUUAUAAUAGUUGGAAGUAUCAACGUUGGUUGAAGAAUCAGUGUGAGUAUUGUAUAUAAUGAUGACCCUGUACAGUUAUUUUUAUUAAACUUAACGAUGAUGUUAACUGCUGAGCCUCAUUUCAACGUGUAACCAUCUCGUUUGACUUCUGCUAGGAACAAGUUUUUAUCUAUCGCUGUGUUUAAGCCCAAUGUGUGAACUUUCGCGUAACUGUAUUAGUGGGAUAUUAUCUAAUCGUGUAUAAUCAUUUAUCCCUUUCAACAUCUCUGAGGCACAGACUGAACAUCCGAGUUGCAGAGGUCUGUGUCAAGAGUAGGCUGAAGAGCAUGGAUGUUGCUCUCAGGGCCUGGCUGAGUUGUGCUUACUAAUUUGGGGAAACACUGUAAUACAAUCUUGUAUUCUUUUCAUUA